AUGGCCAAUGAGGGCCUGAUUCCUAAUGGAGCUGCGAGGCUUCCGGGGAAGGAGUGGCAGCCCCAGCCGGAAGAGGGUGAGUGCAUGCUUCUGGCUACUCAUGUCGACCGCGGAUUCUCUUUGCCGCCGAGCAUUUUCUUCCGUGGUUUCUUGAACUUCUUUGGAGCGCAACUCCACCACUUCACCCCGAAUUCGAUCGCCUAUCUUGCCGCGUUUGUGUCCAUGUGUGAGAGUUUUCUGGGUUGUCGACCGCAUUGGGGCUUGUUCAAGCACAUAUUCACGUGUCGCUCUCAGACCGUGAAGAAGGCGAGCCCAGGCGACGAAAGAACCAGAGUUGUCCAAAUGUGUGGGGGUCUGGGGAUCCAGGUGAGGAACAAGAGUACCUUCCCAGCCAUGACAUUUCCCGAGUCAGUCAGAGGCUGGCAGUUGACCUGGUUCUACUGCCAGGAUCAGUGGACGCCGGGGCAGUCGAGUGGACUCCCUCAGUUCACCAUGGACCGAGUGAACAAGCCCUCCUCUCUGAAGUUUAUUCCGGAGGAGAAAGCUGACGUGAAGAUGCUGAUGGAGCGCGUAGUUCUGUUGGUUCGGGAGGGAGUGACAGGUAUGGACCUCCUGGAGGUUUUCCUUAGGCAUCGUAUCCAGCCUCUUCAGUUCCGGAGCCAUUGUAUGCGGUUGUACCGCGGGACUGAGGAUGAGACUCGGGUCCAUCCAGAAGCAGUCGAUGAUGCCACUCUGGAGAGGUGGAUGGUCGCUGUUACUGGGAACAAGGAUAACCCUCGUGGAGCCAGAAGGAUUCCUCCACUCGACCAUCACAGCGAUCCAAAUAAGGCCCUCACUGAGAUGUACUCGAUGCUCAAUGGAGCACAGGCUCCGACUGAGGAGGGAGAAGCGAGCGGGGGCGAGAGCCAGGAGGAGGAGUGGGACUCGGACGCCGCUGAGGAUGAUGAUGAUGACGAUGACGAUGAUGAUGACGAUGAUGAUGAUGAGGAGGAGGACGAAGAAGGGGAGGAGGAGGAGGUCGCACCACCGUGCUCGGAAAGGCGGUCGAAGCUUGUCCACGACCCUACGACUGAACGUGGCAAGGGGGUUGCAACUAUUGCACAGUCGACCAAGCGCCCUUGGACCACUUCUCCGGCGCCGACUGAAAAGGCGUCGAAGCAGCCCAGGGUGGCCCCGUCAAAGCCGACCAAGCUCCUGCCGAAGAUGAAGGUGUCCAUCCCCACCAUAUUAGGUGCUGCUACUUCUGAGACCUCAGCCCGGGCUGGCGACCAUGAAAUGGAGGACGCAGCAACCUCAAAACCUGCUCCAUCCAAUGUUGUUAUCACUCUCCCUGAUGAUGAUGAAGAUGAGGAACCGCUGAAGCACAGAAGGAGUAGGAAAGCGUCUGCCAGCAAGGUGCCCCAGGAUGUGACGGUGCCUGAGACUCUGGUCGCGGAGGAGGGGAACACCACUCGACAAACUGUGUCCUUCGCAGAUCCACUGACGAGUGCUCCGCAGCCUUCCCUCUUCACGACGCACCAUGUCCCAGAGGACCAAGCUGGCGCAGCGAAGGAGGCGAUACGCUAG
rnacentral:rRNA from 1 species